UACAGAGGUCUCAAGCGUUGUUCGGAUUCAUUGGGCGUAAAGGGUGCGUAGGCGGCGCGGUAAGUCGGGUGUGAAAUCUCGGAGCUUAACUCCGAAACUGCAUUCGAUACUGCCGUGCUUGAGGACUGGAGAGGAGACUGGAAUUUACGGUGUAGCGGUGAAAUGCGUAGAUAUCAAGAGGAACACCGGUGGCGAAGGCGGCUCUCUGGUCCAAUCCUGACGCUGAGGUGCGAAAGCUAGGGGAGCAAACGGG
rnacentral:rRNA from 1 species